GCUCCGGGAGCCGCGAUGCAGCGGCCGGGGGAGCCGGGCGCAGCGCGCUUCGGGCCGCCCGAGGGCUGCGCCGACCACCGGCCGCACCGCUACCGCAGCUUCAUGAUCGAGGAAAUCCUCACUGAGCCUCCGGGGCCCAAGGGCGCCGCUCCCGCCGCCGCUGCCGCCGCCGCGGGCGAGCUGCUCAAGUUCGGCGUGCAGGCGCUACUGGCGGCGCGGCCCUUCCACAGCCACCUGGCCGUGCUGAAGGCCGAGCAGGCGGCGGUGUUUAAGUUCCCGCUGGCGCCGCUCGGCUGCUCCGGACUGGGCUCGGCGCUGCUGGCCGCGGGGCCUGGGCUCCCCGGCGCGGCGGGCGCUCCGCACCUGCCGCUGGAGCUGCAGCUCCGCGGGAAGCUGGAGGCGCCAGGCGCUGGGGAGCCGGGCACCAAGGCCAAGAAGGGGCGUCGGAGCCGCACGGUGUUCACCGAGCUGCAGCUGAUGGGCCUAGAGAAACGCUUUGAGAAGCAGAAGUACCUCUCCACGCCGGACAGAAUAGAUCUCGCCGAGUCCCUGGGUCUGAGCCAGUUGCAGGUUAAGACGUGGUACCAGAAUCGAAGGAUGAAGUGGAAGAAAAUAGUGCUACAGGGCGGCGGCCUGGAGUCUCCCACCAAGCCCAAGGGGAGGCCAAAGAAGAAUUCCAUCCCCACGAGCGAACAGCUGACGGAGCAGGAGCGCGCCAAGGAGGCGGAGAAGACGGUGGAGGCGCCAGGCGAGGCCAGCGACCGGAGCCACGAGGACUGAGCACGGCAGAGGGUGCGGGUCCAGGGGAACCCCAGCGCAGUCGGCGGCUCCCAGAAUCUGCCGAAAGCCGCGAGUCGGCCCUUCUGCGUCCACGCCGUUUGCUUUCUAAACUUUUUAUUACCUUGAAUGCGGACAGUUAGGGGCCAAACAAGGACAGACCCUGAAGCCAAACCGAGGCCCCAGUGCGCUCGCGGGCCCUAGCCUGGAAGCUCACAUCAGACGCGGCAGAAGGUCGCCUCCGCUCGGAGCUCAACGGCGCCAGGCGAUCCACGCGCGUUCACGCCCCGCUCCUCUCCUGCACCCCCCACUCGCCUCUGGCCGGACCCCGGGCCCGGACGCCUCCAGGCACACACGCGCUUCCACGCGUCGGGGACCCCGCGGCCCGGCGCAGGCCACCACGGCCGGAGACGGCGCCCAGACAAACCGACGUCGCUGGGGCCCCUACCCCUCUCUUACGAAGACGGUGAUUUUUUUUUUUUCCAAUAAAAUAUUUUAUGACACAG